rnacentral:lncRNA from 1 species
AGAAACUUUCUACAAGUAGUGUUAAUCUUUUUGAUGAUCGAUUCUAGUAGCAAGUAGACUGACAAUCCAAUAUACUGAAAUGGCAUUGAGUACUGACCUUAUAAGUGUUAUUCGAUCGGCCAGUGAUAGGACCUUAUGCUUCCAUCCAGCAAGUUUCUUCUCUAUUUUUUUUAAAAUAAAGUUCUAGUUGUGCGCUUUUAGAGUUUUGUGAUGCAAAGGUAUACCUAGAUAGUUAAUUGGCAACUGAGUUGUUGG